CCCUAGUAAGCUCAGUUGGUAGAGCGCUCCACCUGUAAUGGAGAGGUCCCGGGUUCGAUACCCGGACCAGGCG
rnacentral:tRNA from 2 species